UCUGGUAUUGAUUGGUGCUUGCAUCAUGAUUUACAUUUGAGUGAGUGGCGAACUGGUGAGUAACACGUGGGAAACCUGCCCAGAAGCGGGGGAUAACACCUGGAAACAGAUGCUAAUACCGCAUAACAACUUGGACCGCAUGGUCCGAGCUUGAAAGAUGGCUUCGGCUAUCACUUUUGGAUGGUCCCGCGGCGUAUUAGCUAGAUGGUGGGGUAACGGCUCACCAUGGCAAUGAUACGUAGCCGACCUGAGAGGGUAAUCGGCCACAUUGGGACUGAGACACGGCCCAAACUCCUACGGGAGGCAGCAGUAGGGAAUCUUCCACAAUGGACGAAAGUCUGAUGGAGCAACGCCGCGUGAGUGAAGAAGGGUUUCGGCUCGUAAAACUCUGUUGUUAAAGAAGAACAUAUCUGAGAGUAACUGUUCAGGUAUUGACGGUAUUUAACCAGAAAGCCACGGCUAACUACGUGCCAGCAGCCGCGGUAAUACGUAGGUGGCAAGCGUUGUCCGGAUUUAUUGGGCGUAAAGCGAGCGCAGGCGGUUUUUUAAGUCUGAUGUGAAAGCCUUCGGCUCAACCGAAGAAGUGCAUCGGAAACUGGGAAACUUGAGUGCAGAAGAGGACAGUGGAACUCCAUGUGUAGCGGUGAAAUGCGUAGAUAUAUGGAAGAACACCAGUGGCGAAGGCGGCUGUCUGGUCUGUAACUGACGCUGAGGCUCGAAAGUAUGGGUAGCAAACAGGAUUAGAUACCCUGGUAGUCCAUACCGUAAACGAUGAAUGCUAAGUGUUGGAGGGUUUCCGCCCUUCAGUGCUGCAGCUAACGCAUUAAGCAUUCCGCCUGGGGAGUACGGCCGCAAGGCUGAAACUCAAAGGAAUUGACGGGGGCCCGCACAAGCGGUGGAGCAUGUGGUUUAAUUCGAAGCUACGCGAAGAACCUUACCAGGUCUUGACAUACUAUGCAAAUCUAAGAGAUUAGACGUUCCCUUCGGGGACAUGGAUACAGGUGGUGCAUGGUUGUCGUCAGCUCGUGUCGUGAGAUGUUGGGUUAAGUCCCGCAACGAGCGCAACCCUUAUUAUCAGUUGCCAGCAUUAAGUUGGGCACUCUGGUGAGACUGCCGGUGACAAACCGGAGGAAGGUGGGGAUGACGUCAAAUCAUCAUGCCCCUUAUGACCUGGGCUACACACGUGCUACAAUGGAUGGUACAACGAGUUGCGAACUCGCGAGAGUAAGCUAAUCUCUUAAAGCCAUUCUCAGUUCGGAUUGUAGGCUGCAACUCGCCUACAUGAAGUCGGAAUCGCUAGUAAUCGCGGAUCAGCAUGCCGCGGUGAAUACGUUCCCGGGCCUUGUACACACCGCCCGUCACACCAUGAGAGUUUGUAACACCCAAAGUCGGU
rnacentral:rRNA from 2 species